rnacentral:rRNA from 1 species
GCACAAGCGGUGGAGCAUGUGGUUUAAUUCGACGCAACGCGAAGAACCUUACCAGGCCUUGACAUCCCUUGCAAAGCUGUAGAGAUACAGUAGAGGUUAUCAAGGAGACAGGUGGUGCAUGGUUGUCGUCAGCUCGUGUCGUGAGAUGUUGGGUUAAGUCCCGCAACGAGCGCAACCCUUGCCUUCAGUUACCAGCAUUCAGUUGGGGACUCUGGAGGGACUGCCGGUGAUAAACCGGAGGAAGGUGGGGAUGACGUCAAAUCAUCAUGCCCCUUAUGGCCUGGGCUACACACGUACUACAAUGGCUGUUACAACGUGCAGCGACCUAGCGAUAGGAAGCGAAUCACUAAAAGACAGUCUCAGUUCGGAUUGAAGUCUGCAACUCGACUUCAUGAAGCUGGAAUCGCUAGUAAUCGCGGAUCAGAAUGCCGCGGUGAUACGUUCCCGGGC